rnacentral:rRNA from 1 species
AGAGUUUGAUCAUGGCUCAGAACGAACGUUGGCGGCGUGGAUUAGGCAUGCAAGUCGAGCGCAUCCUGCUUUUUCAAUUCUUCGGAAGAGAAGCUGCAGGUGAUAGCGGCGAACGGGUUAGUAAUAAAUGGGUAAUUUGCCUCUUUGUUCGGAAUAGCCACCGGAAACGGUGAUUAAUGCCGGAUGUGUUCGCCCCGCACCUGCGGGGCUAUAUAAAGGCGGGGAUUCUUCGGAACCUGUCGCAAAGAGAUAAGCCCAUUUCCUAUCAGCUUGUUGGUGAGGUAAUGGCUCACCAAGGCUUACGGGUAGUUGGUCUGAGAGGAUGAUCAGCAACACUGGGACUGAGACACUGCCCAGACUCCUACGGGAGGCUGCAGUCGAGAAUCAUUGUCAAUGCACGAAAGUGUGAACAUGCGACGCCGCGUGGAGGAAGACGGCCUUUGGGUUGUAAACUCCUGUCAGCAGGGAGUAAGGGUGGCACCUUUAAUACAUGUGCCAUUUGAUAGUACCUGCAGAGGAAGUCACGGCUAACUCUGUGCCAGCAGCCGCGGUAAUACAGAGGUGGCGAACGUUGUUCGGAUUUACUGGGCGUAAAGGGUCCGCAGGCGGUUUGGUGUGUCGGAUGUGAAAGCUCACAGCUUAACUGUGGAAUUGCAUUCGAAACUGCCGAACUAGAGUACUGGAGGGGAGAAGGGAACACUUGGUGUAGCGGUGAAAUGCGUAGAUAUCAAGUGGAACACCGGUGGCGAAGGCGCUUCUCUGGACAGAUACUGACGCUCAUGGACUAAAGUUAGGGUAGCGAAAGGGAUUAGAUACCCCUGUAGUCCUAACCGUAAACGGUGUGCGCUAGGCGUGGGUGGCUUUACCCCCAUCCGUGCCUGAGCUAACGCAUUAAGCGCACCGCCUGGGGAGUACGGUCGCAAGAUUAAAACUCAAAGGAAUUGACGG